rnacentral:lncRNA from 1 species
AACAGUUUGCCACCUCAGUCUUUGCUCAGAGGUCGACAUCUCAGGAUGACUCAGACCAGAUUUUGAUCCCUCAUAUCUCUACUAUUUUUCAGAUGCUCACAGCUCAGUCCGUACGACUUGAGGAGCUUGAGGAAUGUGUUCUGAGACUGACAGACAGAGUUCUAGAUUUAUAGAGGUAAGUAUUAGCCUUAGCCCAUCCCCAGCC